GAAGGUAGCAUAAUUAAUUGCCUUUUAAUUGAAGGCUUGUUUGAAUGGUUUGACGGAGUAAUUUUAAAUAUUUUAGGCUGUUGUUGAAAUUGAUAUUUAUGGUUCAGAAUCCUAUAGGAAUUAAUUAGACGGAAAGACCCCGGGAUCUUUUAUUUUGCCUGGGGCAGGUGUUAGUAUUUCAUUAAUAUUUUGUUCCUUGUUUUGGAUUAAUGGGUUAAGUUACCCCGGGGAUAACAGUGUAAUAGCUAAUUAGAGAUCUUAUCGAGUUAGUUGUUUGCCACCUCGAUGUUGACUUAGAUUUAGGCUUGGGCGCAAUAGUUUGAGUUUUUGGUCUGUUCGACCUUAUAAAUCUUCAUGAGUUGAGUUAAGACCGGCGUGAGCCAGGUCGGUUCUUAUCUAUUGAUGAAACUUACUAGUACGAAAGGACCGUAAGUUUUUUUAUUAAGUAUGUAGCGUUAGUGCCUUAGUUUUGCAAAAGCUAAUGAGAAAUAGAUUGUAUGUUUCCAUACUUUAUUUGUUUAACUGUGGCAAGAGAAAGUAUUCGUCAUGUUAGUUGCAUAAAAAAUUUUUGUAUUUUAUGAAAUGAGAUUUGGUUUGUACUGAUUAGCAGUUAGUUUUUUAUUAGGAUGAGGGUCUUUUAAGAAUAUGACGUAUGAAGGGGAGAGGACACAGUGCCAGCAUCUGCGGUUAAUCUGUUUUCUUUGCUUUUUUGUGGAUUGUAUGUAAAUAUUAAUGAUUAAGUCUAGGUGAAAUUUACUUAUGUUUAAUUAUAAUAUUUAUUUUUUAAUAAAUAGCGGUUAAUGACAGGGAUUAGAUACCCCAUUAAUUGGUUAGAAUAUUUUAUCUUAGUAUCAACUAAAAUAGUUUGGCAGCGAAUGAAUCUUAUCGGGGGAAGG
rnacentral:rRNA from 1 species